rnacentral:rRNA from 1 species
AGAGUUUGAUCCUGGCUCAGGAUGAACGCUGGCGGUCUGCUUAACACAUGCAAGUCGAACGGGAUCCUUCGGGAUUUAGUGGCGGACGGGUGAGUAACGCGUGAGAAUCUGCCCUUAGGUUGGGGACAACAGUUGGAAACGACUGCUAAUACCCAAUGUGCCGAGAGGUGAAAGGUUAACUGCCUGGGGAUGAGCUCGCGUCUGAUUAGCUAGUUGGAGUGGUAACGGCACACCAAGGCGACGAUCAGUAGCUGGUCUGAGAGGAUGAUCAGCCACACUGGGACUGAGACACGGCCCAGACUCCUACGGGAGGCAGCAGUGGGGAAUUUUCCGCAAUGGGCGAAAGCCUGACGGAGCAAGACCGCGUGAGGGAGGAAGGCCUAUUGGUUGUAAACCUCUUUUGAUAGGGAAGAACACAAUGACGGUACCUAUCGAAUCAGCAUCGGCUAACUCCGUGCCAGCAGCCGCGGUAAUACGGAGGAUGCAAGCGUUAUCCGGAUUUAUUGGGCGUAAAGCGUCCGUAGGUGGCAAACCAAGUCAGUUGUUAAAGCGUAGAGCUUAACUCUAUAAGGGCAAUUGAAACUGGUUAGCUAGAGUGCGAUAGGGGCAAGGGGAAUUCCCAGUGUAGCGGUGAAAUGCGUAGAUAUUGGGAAGAACAUCGGUGGCGAAGGCGCCUUGCUGGGUCUGCACUGACACUGAGGGACGAAAGCUAGGGGAGCGAAAGGGAUUAGAUACCCCUGUAGUCCUAG